rnacentral:rRNA from 1 species
GAUCAUGGCUCAGGACGAACGCUGGCGGCGCGCCUAACACAUGCAAGUCGAGGGGCAGCAUGGUCUUAGCUUGCUAAGGCCGAUGGCGACCGGCGCACGGGUGAGUAACGCGUAUCCAACCUGCCUUACACUCUUGGACAGCCUUCUGAAAGGGAGAUUAAUACAAGAUGUUAUCAUGAGUAAGCAUUUUCGCAUGAUUAAAGGUUUACCGGUGUAAGAUGGGGAUGCGUUCCA